AGAGUUUGAUCCUGGCUCAGAUUGAACGCUGGCGGCAGGCCUAACACAUGCANGUCGAGCGGUAGAGAGAAACUUGCUUCUCUUGAGAGCGGCGGACGGGUGAGUAAAGCCUAGGAAUCUGCCUGGUAGUGGGGGAUAACGUUCGGAAACGGACGCUAAUACCGCAUACGUCCUACGGGAGAAAGCAGGGGACCUUCGGGCCUUGCGCUAUCAGAUGAGCCUAGGUCGGAUUAGCUAGUUGGUGAGGUAAUGGCUCACCAAGGCGACGAUCCGUAACUGGUCUGAGAGGAUGAUCAGUCACACUGGAACUGAGACACGGUCCAGACUCCUACGGGAGGCAGCAGUGGGGAAUAUUGGACAAUGGGCGAAAGCCUGAUCCAGCCAUGCCGCGUGUGUGAAGAAGGUCUUCGGAUUGUAAAGCACUUUAAGUUGGGAGGAAGGGCAUUAACCUAAUACGUUAGUGUUUUGACGUUACCGACAGAAUAAGCACCGGCUAACUCUGUGCCAGCAGCCGCGGUAAUACAGAGGGUGCAAGCGUUAAUCGGAAUUACUGGGCGUAAAGCGCGCGUAGGUGGUUUGUUAAGUUGGAUGUGAAAUCCCCGGGCUCAACCUGGGAACUGCAUUCAAAACUGACUGAUCAGAGUAUGGUAGAGGGUGGUGGAAUUUCCUGUGUAGCGGUGAAAUGCGUANAUUUAGGAAGGAACACCAGUGGCGAAG
rnacentral:rRNA from 1 species